rnacentral:piRNA from 1 species
UGGAACGAACAGAAAAAAAAUGAGAUUU